rnacentral:rRNA from 1 species
CGGUUAAGUUAGAAAGGGCGCACGGUGGAUGCCUUGGCACUAGGAGCCGAUGAAGGACGGGACGAACACCGAUAUGCUUCGGGGAGCUGUAAGCAAGCUUUGAUCCGGAGAUUUCCGAAUGGGGAAACCCACCACUCGUAAUGGAGUGGUAUCCAUAUCUGAAUACAUAGGAUAUGAGAAGGCAGACCCGGGGAACUGAAACAUCUAAGUACCCGGAGGAAGAGAAAGCAAAUGCGAUUCCCUGAGUAGCGGCGAGCGAAACGGGACCAGCCCAAACCAAGAGGCUUGCCUCUUGGGGUUGUAGGACACUCUGUACGGAGUUACAAAGGAACGAGGUAGAUGAAGAGGUCUGGAAAGGCCCGCCAUAGAAGGUAACAGCCCUGUAGUCAAAACUUCGUUCUCUCCUGAGUGGAUCCUGAGUACGGCGGAACACGUGAAAUUCCGUCGGAAUCCGGGAGGACCAUCUCCCAAGGCUAAAUACUCCCUAGUGACCGAUAGUGAACCAGUACCGUGAGGGAAAGGUGAAAAGCACCCCGGAAGGGGAGUGAAAGAGAUCCUGAAACCGUGUGCCUACAAGUAGUCAGAGCCCGUUAACGGGUGAUGGCGUGCCUUUUGUAGAAUGAACCGGCGAGUUACGAUCCCGUGCAAGGUUAAGCAGAAGAUGCGGAGCCGCAGCGAAAGCGAGUCUGAAUAGGGCGAAUUGAGUACGUGGUCGUAGACCCGAAACCAGGUGAUCUACCCAUGUCCAGGGUGAAGUUCAGGUAACACUGAAUGGAGGCCCGAACCCACGCACGUUGAAAAGUGCGGGGAUGAGGUGUGGGUAGGGGUGAAAUGCCAAUCGAACCUGGAGAUAGCUGGUUCUCUCCGAAAUAGCUUUAGGGCUAGCCUCAAGGUAAGAGUCUCGGAGGUAGAGCACUGAUUGGACUAGGGGCCCCUACCGGGUUACCGAAUUCAGUCAAACUCCGAAUGCCGAUGACUUAUCCUUGGGAGUCAGACUGCGAGUGAUAAGAUCCGUAGUCGAAAGGGAAACAGCCCAGACCGCCAGCUAAGGUCCCAAAGUAUACGUUAAGUGGAAAAGGAUGUGGAGUUGCUUAGACAACCAGGAUGUUGGCUUAGAAGCAGCCACCAUUUAAAGAGUGCGUAAUAGCUCACUGCUCGAGUGACUCUGCGCCGAAAAUGUACCGGGGCUAAACGUAUCACCGAAGCUGCGGACUGUUCUUCGAACAGUGGUAGGAGAGCGUUCUAAGGGCUGUGAAGCAAGACCGGAAGGACUUGUGGAGCGCUUAGAAGUGAGAAUGCCGGUAUGAGUAGCGAAAGAGGGGUGAGAAUCCCCUCCACCGAAUGCCUAAGGUUUCCUGAGGAAGGCUCGUCCGCUCAGGGUUAGUCGGGACCUAAGCCGAGGCCGAAAGGCGUAGGCGAUGGAUAACAGGUUGAUAUUCCUGUACCACCUCCUCACCAUUUGAGCAAUGGGGGGACGCAGGAGGAUAGGGUAAGCGCGGUAUUGGAUAUCCGCGUCCAAGCAGUUAGGCUGGGAAAUAGGCAAAUCCGUUUCCCGUGAAGGCUGAGCUGUGAUGGCGAGCGAAUUAUAGUAGCGAAGUUCCUGAUUCCACACUGCCAAGAAAAGCCUCUAGCGAGGUGAGAGGUGCCCGUACCGCAAACCGACACAGGUAGGCGAGGAGAGAAUCCUAAGGUGAUCGAGAGAACUCUCGUUAAGGAACUCGGCAAAAUGACCCCGUAACUUCGGGAGAAGGGGUGCUCUGUUAGGGUGCAAGCCCGAGAGAGCCGCAGUGAAUAGGCCCAGGCGACUGUUUAGCAAAAACACAGGUCUCUGCGAAGCCGUAAGGCGAAGUAUAGGGGCUGACGCCUGCCCGGUGCUGGAAGGUUAAGAGGAGCGCUUAGCGUAAGCGAAGGUGCGAAUUGAAGCCCCAGUAAACGGCGGCCGUAACUAUAACGGUCCUAAGGUAGCGAAAUUCCUUGUCGGGUAAGUUCCGACCCGCACGAAAGGCGCAACGAUCUGGGCACUGUCUCAACGAGAGACUCGGUGAAAUUAUAGUACCUGUGAAGAUGCAGGUUACCCGCGACAGGACGGAAAGACCCCGUGGAGCUUUACUGCAGCCUGAUAUUGAAUGUUGGUACAGCUUGUACAGGAUAGGUAGGAGCCUUGGAAACCGGAGCGCCAGCUUCGGUGGAGGCAUCGGUGGGAUACUACCCUGGCUGUAUUGACCUUCUAACCCGCCGCCCUUAUCGGGCGGGGAGACAGUGUCAGGUGGGCAGUUUGACUGGGGCGGUCGCCUCCUAAAAGGUAACGGAGGCGCCCAAAGGUUCCCUCAGAAUGGUUGGAAAUCAUUCGCAGAGUGUAAAGGCACAAGGGAGCUUGACUGCGAGACCUACAAGUCGAGCAGGGACGAAAGUCGGGCUUAGUGAUCCGGUGGUUCCGCAUGGAAGGGCCAUCGCUCAACGGAUAAAAGCUACCCCGGGGAUAACAGGCUUAUCUCCCCCAAGAGUCCACAUCGACGGGGAGGUUUGGCACCUCGAUGUCGGCUCAUCGCAUCCUGGGGCUGUAGUCGGUCCCAAGGGUUGGGCUGUUCGCCCAUUAAAGCGGUACGCGAGCUGGGUUCAGAACGUCGUGAGACAGUUCGGUCCCUAUCCGUCGCGGGCGCAGGAAAUUUGAGAGGAGCUGUCCUUAGUACGAGAGGACCGGGAUGGACGCACCGCUGGUGUACCAGUUGUUCUGCCAAGGGCAUCGCUGGGUAGCUAUGUGCGGACGGGAUAAGUGCUGAAAGCAUCUAAGCAUGAAGCCCCCCUCAAGAUGAGAUUUCCCAUUCCGCAAGGAAGUAAGAUCCCUGAAAGAUGAUCAGGUUGAUAGGUCUGAGGUGGAAGUGUGGCGACACAUGGAGCUGACAGAUACUAAUCGAUCGAGGACUUAACCAAUUU